rnacentral:rRNA from 1 species
GACGUAGGGCGCGAGCGUUGUCCGGAUUUAUUGGGCGUAAAGAGCUCGUGGGCGGCUUGUCGCGUCGACUGUGAAAUCCCGCGGCUCAACCGCGGGUCUGCAGUCGAUACGGGCAGGCUAGAGUUCGGUAGGGGAGACUGGAAUUCCUGGUGUAGCGGUGAAAUGCGCAGAUAUCAGGAGGAACACCGAUGGCGAAGGCAGGUCUCUGGGCCGAUACUGACGCUGAGGAGCGAAAGCGUGGGGAGCGAACAGG